CAUGUCUUUUUGAGAAUUUAUUUAAAGUCUAACCUGCCCAAUGAUUAAUUAUUUAAUGGCCGCGGUAUUUUGACCGUGCAAAGGUAGCAUAAUCAUUAGUUUUUUAAUUGAAAGCUGGAAUGAAAGGUUGAAUGAGAAAAUAACUGUCUUUGUUAUAUUUUAUUAGAAUUUUAUCUUUAAGUGAAAAAGCUUAAAUUAUAUUUAUAGACGAGAAGACCCUUUAGAGUUUUAUAAAAAUAUUUUUUAAAUUUUUUAGUAUUUAUUUUAUUUAAUAAAGAUUUUUAUUUAGUUGGGGUGAUUGAAAAACUAAAUAAACUUUUUUUUUUAUUCAACAUUAAUUUAUGAAUUUUUGAUCCAUUAAUUAUGAUUAUAAGAAAAAAUUACCUAAGGGAUAACAGCGUUAUUUUUUUUGAGAGUUCUAAUCGAAAAAAAAGAUUGCGACCUCGAUGUUGGAUUAAAAUUAAAUUAUGGUGUAGAGGCUAUAACUAGA
rnacentral:rRNA from 1 species